rnacentral:rRNA from 1 species
AAGCAAAUAAGGGCGUAUGGGGGAUGCCUUGGCUCUAAGAGACGACGAAGGACGUGGUAAGCUGCGAAAAGUUACGGGGAGAUGCAAACAAUUUUUGAUCCGUAAAUGUCCGAAUGGGGAAACCCUCUAUGUUGAAGACAUAGAAUACACGUAAGUGUAAGAAAACCCGGGGAACUGAAACAUCUAAGUACCUGGAGGAAAAUAUAACAAUAGUUAUUCCGCAAGUAGUGGCGAGCGAACGCGGAACAGCCCUAAAGCUUAUAUAUAAUUAGCAGAAUCUUCUGGAAAGUUGAACGAUACAAGGUGAUAGUCCUGUAAGCGAAAAUUAUAUACAAGUUAUUCGAGUAUGGCGGAGCCGGUGAAACUCUGUCUGAAUAUAGCAGCACCAUCUGCUAAGGCUAAAUACUACUUAGAGACCGAUAGCGAACCAGUACUGUGAAGGAAAGGUGAAAAGAACCCUAAGAAAGGGAGUGAAAAGAACCUGAAACCAUACGCUUACAAGCGGUCGGAGCCUACGGGUGACGGCGUGCCUUUUGCAUAAUGAUCCUACGAGUUACUCCUCACUAGCAAGUUUAAGUACUUCAGGUACGUAGGCGUAGCGAAAGCGAGUCUGAAUAGGGCGUUUGUCAGUGUUUAUAGACCCGAACCCGGGUGAUCUAACCAUGGCCAGGAUGAAGCUUGGGUGAUACCAAGUGGAGGUCCGAACCGACUGAUGUUGAAAAAUCAGCGGAUGAGCUGUGGUUAGGGGUGAAAUGCCAAUCGAACCCGGAGCUAGCUGGUUCUCCCCGAAAUACGUUGAGGCGUAGCGUCUCGUGCUCCAGCAGGGGGGUAAAGCCACCAUUUCGGUGCGGGCUGCGAGAGCGGUACCAAAUCGAGAUGAACUCUGAAUACCCUGUGUGUAGCGAGGCAGUCAGACUGUGGGGGAUAAGCUCCAUGGUCGAGAGGGAAACAGCCCAGACCGCCAGCUAAGGUCCCCAAAUCAACACUAAGUGAUAAAGGAGGUGGGAUUGCCCAGACAACCAGGAGGUUUGCCUAGAAGCAGCCAUCCUCAAAGGAGUGCGUAAUAGCUCACUGGUCGAGCGAUCCUGCGCCGAAAAUGAAUGGGGCUAAGUGUUGUACCGAAGCUGCGGAUUUAUGGUAGGGGAGCGUUCUAUGUGGGGCGAAGCGUUAGCGUGAGCGGGCGUGGACUGCAUAGAAGUGAGAAUGUCGGCUUGAGUAGCGAAAACAUGGGUGAGAAUCCCAUGCACCGAAACCCUAAGGGUUCCUCCGGCAGGCUCGUCCGCGGAGGGUUAGUCUGGACCUAAGGCGAGGCCGAAAGGCGUAGUCGAUGGACAGCAGAUUAAUAUUUCUGCCCCGCUUUUGUGGAGUGAUGGGGUGACGCAUUAGGAUAGGCCAACCGGAGCUAUGGCUAUGCCCGGCGGGUAACGAAGCUUUUCAGGAUAGGAAAAUCCGCCUGAUACUAGAGUGACGUUAUUCGGGAAGGCCCCAAGGGGCUGAUAACUGGUUGAAUCCACGGUGCCAAGAAAAACCUCUAAACGUUGAAGCAAGAGCGCCCGUACCGAUAACCGACACAGGUGGGCGAGUGUAAAAGCACUAAGGCGCGCGAGAAAACUCUCUCUAAGGAACUCUGCAAAAUGGCCCCGUAACUUCGGGAGAAGGGGUCCCGUGUGUACCGUGAGGCAACUUGCGGGAGACGGGCACAGUAAAUCGGCUCUAGCGACUGUUUACCACAAUCACAGCACUCUGCAAACCCGCGUAGGGGACGUAUAGGGUGUGACACCUGCCCGGUGCCGG